GUGAGUCGGUUCAGCCAUGUGAAAACGAAGUUACUGAGCCCAAAGGUCUUAAUUUUAGUCGUUUGUCGCGACGAUCUUCAAUCCUUCUAUCAGAUCAGCACUUAACUGCAGGGUGCGUUCAACAUUUGAGAUGGACCAGAAUGCUCACUUGCCCGAGUCUUUUGAAAUGUCAUUUGUGGAGCAUCGACACAAGCGUGGUAACAGGCCCUUCCGGCCCAACGAGUCCGCGCCGCUUGUUUUAAACCCAUAUUAACCUACCCGUGCGUCUUUGUAAUGUGAGAGGAAACCGGAGCACCCGGAGGAAACCCACGUAGACACGCCUCCCGAAUGAUCUUCAGUCCAUCCAGCUCUCGCUCCAGUUCCCUAACACGGUCUGUCAGGAGCUGCAGCCGGAUGCACCGCUCGCAAGUGGAGUCGUCCGUGACGCUGGGGGCCUCCCUGACUUCCCACAUCCUACAAACGGAGCAUGCCAGUGGCCCGACUGCCAUUUCCACUGCUCUAACUGUGCAAUUCGACUCAUCACAUCAGGCUCCGCUCACUGAAGUCUCCUGAACCAAAGUCGGAUGGACGAUAACAACAAAAUCUACAAAGAAACUUUCCUCACUUUUACCUCUGUCUGUGACUGAUUAGUGUGCGUUGCUUCUUCGUGAUUAAGGACUGAGGAAAGAUCGGUCUCAUGGCCUGAUAACAUGUGCGACGGCAUAGGAGUUAUAAGAGGAGGGACAUGCACAGGGGAUCCAUAGCCGGGGCAACAGCUUUUGGAUAAUUGGUAGAGGAAAUACAGAGGGGAGCUGAGCUCUUCUCAGUCACGUCUUGGAGGGUUUGGAACUCAGACCAUGAAAGACCGGUGCAGGCCAAAUCCCUCACAGCCCCAUAUAAAUACUUCCCAUAUGGAACCUCGGAAAGCCGCGACCUAAAAUAUAAUGGACUCAGAUUUGGAAAGCUGGGUUAAUAAAAUAGAUAGCCUUAAACAAA